UACGGGGGGGGGCAAGCGUUGUUCGGAAUUACUGGGCGUAAAGGGCGCGUAGGCGGCCGCCUAAGUCAGACGUGAAAUCCCUCGGCUCAACCGGGGAACUGCGUCUGAUACUGGGUGGCUUGAAUUCGGGAGAGGGAUGCGGAAUUCCAGGUGUAGCGGUGAAAUGCGUAGAUAUUAGGAAGAACACCGGUGGCGAAGGCGGCCCACUGGUCCGGUACUGACGCUGAGGUGCGAAAGCGUGGGGAGCAAACAGG
rnacentral:rRNA from 1 species